UGAACGCUGGCGGCAUGCCUAACACAUGCAAGUCGAACGGUAACAGCAGAGCUUGCUCUGGCUGACGAGUGGCGGACGGGUGAGUAAUGAAUAGGAAUCUGCCUAGUAGUGGGGGACAACGUGGUGAAAACCACGCUAAUACCGCAUACGCCCUACGGGGGAAAGGGGGCUUCGGCUCUCGCUAUUAGAUGAGCCUAUUUCUGAUUAGCUUGUUGGUGAGGUAAUGGCUCACCAAGGCGACGAUCAGUAGCUGGUUUGAGAGAAUGAUCAGCCACACUGGGACUGAGACACGGCCCAGACUCCUACGGGAGGCAGCAGUGGGGAAUAUUGGACAAUGGGCGAAAGCCUGAUCCAGCAAUGCCGCGUGUGUGAAGAAGGCCUGAGGGUUGUAAAGCACUUUCAGCAGUGAGGAAAAGUUCAUGGUUAAUACCCAUGAACCCUGACGUUAACUGCAGAAGAAGCACCGGCUAACUCC
rnacentral:rRNA from 1 species